UGGUCUUGCUAGCAUUGAUUAAUCAAUGAUUAUUGAUCUACUUUGUUCUGUCUAUGUCAGGGGUAAUGAAGAUGAGUGUUCGAGCCAUGGUAGUCAAGAAGAUGUGGACUCCCCCCUAAAGGAUAAGAAGGUCGAUCGCCAAUAUACCUUAGAGCGCAAGUCCAAGAGCAUGCCCAGUGACAUCCAGAGAGACAUUUAUAUUUUGGGUGAAAAAUCUAAAGACAACGGUGUUGAAGGUGUUCAAUUCCUAUCUGAUCGUGAAGAUGAUGGUGCUGAAAUGGAUGCCCCCCCUAUUUGGGAACCCCCGGAGCCACUAGACCCAGAAGAUGAACUAGAAGAUGCUGCUGCUGAUGAAUGUUGUGAUGGCUCUAAACGGGCCAGAUCAUCUUCUUUAGGGGAAUCUAAAGAUGGAAGUAGUAACCAGAGAAAGUUCAAUGAAGAAAAUCGAAGAGCAAUGCUUGCGGUGGCAAACUCAAAGUUUAACUUCAUUGUGAGUCAGCUUAUUCAGUCGGCUGGGUUUUCAUUGGAAGAAGGUGAAAGUUGGAGUGCGAUAGUUGCUAGGUUAUGCUGGGAGGCUGCUUCACUAUUAAAGCCAGAUAUUGAUGGCAAACCAGUUGAUCCGGCUGAGUACAUCAAAGUGAAAUGCAUAGCAACUGGUUCUUGCAAUGAAAGGUAUUACAACUUACCCAUUGAUUGCCUAUACGUUGCAUAUGAUUUUUAUUCCAUUUCCCUCUACCGUACUCUCCUAAUGAUUUGUUCAUCUCUGCAGUGAAGUUUUUAAAGGCCUUGUUUUCAAAAAACAUGCUGCUCUUAAACAAAUGCCUACCAAGUAUGAGCAUCCUAGAAUAAUGUUAGUCGAAGGAGUACUGGGCCAGCCAUUAAGUGGUUUUUCUUCUCUCCAGUCAAUGGAUAAGGUGGGGAGCACAGUACCUUGGCGAUCACCAAUUCACCAUUUUGAAAGCUUUCAUUUGGUAAUAUCUGAUUUCUUUUUGUUUGGUUUUUGCCAGCAGGACAAAGAUGUUUAUGUGAAGCCUGUUGUUGAUAUCAUAGCCGCGUUGAAGCCUGACGUCAUGCUGGUGGAAAAAUCUGUUUCGCGUGAUAUCCAAUUGUCUAUUAAUGAACAAAAGGUCACUCUGGUGCUUGACAUGAAGCUCCACCGUCUACAGCGAAUUUCUCGAUGCAUAGGUUCACCAAUCAUUCCAUUGGAAUCUCUGUCUAGUCAGAAGUUAAAGCACUGUGAUUCCUUUCGCAUUGAGAAAAUUGUGGAGGAGCAUAAUGCUGUGGGCGAAGCUGAGAAGAAGCCAACUAAAACGCUGAUGUUCUUAGAAGGUUGUCCUACCCGCCUUGGCUGCACGGUGAGUGCUUGAUUGAUAUUGGAUUAUGAUAAGUUGUUGAUGGUAUCUUUACUUGAGUAACACAUCAAUACAUCACAUAACUGCCGGUAUUAUAGUAGUUUCCACUGGAUAAAACAUCAAAUCUUUCAAAAUUUGAAUUUGUGACAUUGACCUUGGACUUUCUUGCCCUGAUUAUCUGAUUUUGACAUUGUGGUAUGUGACAGAUUUUACUUAAAGGAAGCCACAGUGAAAGGUUGAAAAAGGUCAAAGAAGUAGUACAAGAUUCAUUUAACCUUGCAUAUCAUCUAAUCUUGGAGGCUUCCUUCCUUGCUGAUCGGCAAACAAUGUUCUCAACCAUCUUUCCAAAGGAAGCUACAUCAUGUGUUAUGGAAACAGAAAAAGUUCCACUAUCUCCUUCUCCUGGAAAAUCUUCACUUGAAGCAAUUGAUAUUCCCUUUUCUAAUGGAUUCGAUGAACGAUCUAUUCAGAUAAAUGGGGAAUCAGAUGGUGAGAAAGCUGAAAACUGGGAUUCUGGUGGAGAUCAUGUCUUCUCUCACGAGCCAUAUAAUCCAGUUAUUUUUACUGGGUUUUCCUCUUUAUCCGCCAAGCUAAGUAAAUAUUUUGGCUUAGUUGAAAAUCCGGAAUCAGUUCCAGUUACUAUGGAUACAGAUGCAAAUAGCAGCCAUACCGAAGAUGCUACAGAAAAGGAUGAAAGACCUUUGUUACUUGACCCUGGGCUCCCGGUAAACACGAAUUCAGAUGAUGGAGAGAGGUCGCCAGCUGAGAAUGAUAUUGAGACCACCUUGGAAUCUCAGGAGCCAUGGUAGUCAAGAAGAUGUGGACUCCCCCCUAAAGGAUAAGAAGGUCGAUCGCCAAUAUACCUUAGAGCGCAAGUCCAAGAGCAUGCCCAGUGACAUCCAGAGAGACAUUUAUAUUUUGGGUGAAAAAUCUAAAGACAACGGUGUUGAAAGUGUUCAAUUCCUAUCUGAUCGUGAAGAUGAUGGUGCUGAAAUGGAUGCCCCCCC
rnacentral:lncRNA from 1 species